GACAACUAUCAAAAUUUGAAACUUCAAUCUUCACAUUCCUAAGGAUAUGCUCAUCUUGGUCGAACUGGUUAUGGUGCGGGCAUGCCCCUAUAGGUCGAUCAAGUUCUAGAUUCCUACCUCUCUGUCCUAUAGAUAGUCGGGGAGACUCAAGUUUUAGAUUAUUUCUACCUAGUUUCUUCCAAUACUACUAUUCUCUCAUCCAAGG
rnacentral:lncRNA from 1 species